AGCCCACAGCCCAGUGACAAGAAUUAGACAACACAAGUUCUCAGAUCACGAAUGACAAGCCUGUAUUAGUAUGUGACCAUUCGGAUGAAGGAAAAGGAAAAAGCACAAGCAGUUGGGGACAUAGGAGAGCGUGAACCCAGAUGGUCAUUCCGGAGGUUAGAACCCAAGGCCCGAGGAAGUCAGAGACUUUAAGGGAAGGAGGCCACGAUGCACUGAGGUCCCAAUCUGUAAUUCCACCUGCUUCUCGCAAACACCUUGAGAGGUCAUUACCGAUUUCCCAGCAGAGGAAUCAAGAUGGAUGAUAACAUGGGAGAAAAAUGUCCCACUGUGGCCAACUCAUGUUCCUCCACUUACAUGCAUGUGGAUGGGUAGCUGAGAACCCCAGUUGGUUCACGAAGCCGGUGGGGAGGUCAUGCUGCUCCUGGGAGCUGGGAUGGAGUGACCUCUGUCUUUCAGUCCUUUGGGAGGAUGCUGCUCACACUGGCUUACAUCCUGGCAUGGGCUGUCGCCUAAGAUGGACUCACUGAGGCAAAAUGAGUUGCUGGCAAGUUAGUGUCAACCU